rnacentral:rRNA from 1 species
CAUGCAAGUCGCGGUAAGGCCCUUCGGGGGUACACGAGUGGCGAACGGGUGAGUAACACGUGGGUAAUCUGCCCUGCACUUCGGGAUAAGCCUGGGAAACCGGGUCUAAUACCGGAUAUGAACUCCUGCCGCAUGGUGGGGGUUGGAAAGUUUUUCGGUGCAGGAUGAGCCCGCGGCCUAUCAGCUUGUUGGUGGGGUAAUGGCCUACCAAGGCGACGACGGGUAGCCGGCCUGAGAGGGUGAUCGGCCACACUGGGACUGAGACACGGCCCAGACUCCUACGGGAGGCAGCAGUGGGGAAUAUUGCACAAUGGGCGAAAGCCUGAUGCAGCGACGCCGCGUGGGGGAUGACGGUCUUCGGAUUGUAAACCCCUUUCAGUAGGGACGAAGCGCAAGUGACGGUACCUGCAGAAGAAGCACCGGCUAACUACGUGCCAGCAGCCGCGGUAAUACGUAGGGUGCGAGCGUUGUCCGGAAUUACUGGGCGUAAAGAGCUCGUAGGCGGUUUGUCACGUCGUCUGUGAAAUCCCUCGGCUUAACCGGGGGCGUGCAGGCGAUACGGGCAGACUUGAGUACUACAGGGGAGACUGGAAUUCCUGGUGUAGCGGUGAAAUGCGCAGAUAUCAGGAGGAACACCGGUGGCGAAGGCGGGUCUCUGGGUAGUAACUGACGCUGAGACGAAAGCAUGGGUAGCGAACAGGAUUAGAUACCCUGGUAGUCCAUGCCGUAAACGGUGGGCGCUAGGUGUGGGGCCUUCCACGGACUCCGUGCCGUAGCUAACGCAUUAAGCGCCCCGCCUGGGGAGUACGGCCGCAGGCUAAAACUCAAAGGAAUUGACGGGGCCCGCACAAGCGGCGGAGCAUGUGGUAUUCGAUGCAACGCAAUACCGCUUGACAUAUACAGACGACGAAUGUCUUCCUGUGGGGCAUGC